rnacentral:tRNA from 5 species
GCCGAGGUGGCGGAAUUGGCAGACGCACUGGGUUUAGGACCCAGCAGUCGCAAGACUAUGGGAGUUCAAAUCUCCCCCUCGGCACCA